UUAUAGUCUUGUGUUGAUUAAUGUGCACCGUUCCAAUUAAAAUGAAUAAAUGAAUCAACAAAUAAAACAGCCAAGAACGCGCGUAAGCUGAAAUGUGCCAUUUUACAUUUGGGAUGCAAAGGACGAGCAGGGUUGAAGCGCCUCGGUUGCCCCUCAGCGGGUGGGCCGGCCGAGAUAACGUCCGCGCUUAAAUAAAGUUUUGGGUUUCCUUUCCAUUGUUUUCUCACAAAGAAAGGCGACUAUUGAUUAAGGGCCCGGCCCGUUUACCUAUCGGGUUGUUCACUUCACAGCGGAGUCGCAUUCCAGCACAGAGGGCAGAGUUACCUGAUCACGCCUCACUUCCAGCUAGCAAAAAAAAAAAAAAAAGCGUGGGCAGCCGCCAGCGCUCACGACUCCCACCGGCGCCGCGCCGCCUUGUACAAUGGGACAAACUUUUGCCAAGAAGCGCAACCGCCGGCGGAAGUUUUGUGGGCGUGAGGGCGGGCUCGUUACUUUGACCAGGUAUCCGUAAGCCUUGUCUAAUCUUUUCUCACACCCUUUCUUUUCUCCCUCUCCCUUCUUGUCGUCCUCAGAGGGCCGCCGGCGGCGGCGGCGGCGCUGGUUUAUAAUGCUGAUGAUUAACUAAAUAGAGUUGUGGGAGAGCAGGUCUGCUCGGCUUUCUCAUUUUGCUGGGGCCCGGCUGACCGCGAGGAGGACGGGAGUGUUCUCGGGCGAGACCUUUCUUCUGCUUCUUUUUCGGCCCCUGCCUUCCCAAACAAAAGUUUGGUUUGGUGGCAUUCUUUGCUCGCCGUACCUCUCCAAGACGGAGGGAGAAUUACCCGUCACACUAAAGACGGAGCCGCACCUUUAUGUACCCACUCGGCUCCAUUACCCAAGCCACCGGCAACACUCGUCUCGUUGUCAGCGAUUGGCGACGGCUGGAGAGCGAAAGGGAGGCUUGAUGGCCUUUGGUGCUCGUACGAGUCUGAAAGCGCCGCGGAAUGAGGAACUUCGGUCAGGUCGUUUCUUCUGCAUUGCUGCUUCCUCAGAGGUCCCCUUGCCAGCCUGUUGAUUGGCGUCUUACCAGACAUGGUUAGAUGUAAUUACUGGUGUCUAAUACUGUCUGGUAAUGCCGUCCAUUAAAUGGCGUUGCCUUCCGCUGUCUUCCUUCUGCUUUCUCGCUCUGAUGCGUCUUCACGCGUGCGCCUUAGCGGACGUGACUGUGGAACCGUGAUCCUUGCACUCACUGGAAGCGUCAAGCAUGCAAGCAGGAUUCUUUCACGUGACUCGAGUCAAAGUUUAACCUUUUUUCUACGAUCGGUACGUUUUUAAGACUUGGGGAAUGUCAGCGUUGGCGGCCGCAUAAGGGUGACCUGUCCCUCCGUAGAGAGACGUGUCGUCUACUCCCGUGUACUGUAACAGAAUACCUUCCAGGAACUUGGCUUUUCUCCAGGUACAGUAGAUAAAUGCAGACUUUAUCCUCGGGCACAAUAUAUGUCAUGUGAAAGAACAUAUUGAAUAAAUGAAAUAAGAAUGGA